GAUGAACGCUGGCGGCGUGCCUAAUACAUGCAAGUCGAGCGAAUGGAUUAAGAGCUUGCUCUUAUGAAGUUAGCGGCGGACGGGUGAGUAACACGUGGGUAACCUGCCCAUAAGACUGGGAUAACUCCGGGAAACCGGGGAUAAUACCGGAUAACAUUUUGAACCGAAUGGUUCGAAAUGGAAAGGCGGCAUCGGCUGUCACUUAUGGAUGGACCCGCGUCGCAUUAGCUAGUUGGUGUGGUAACGGCUCACCAAGGCAACGAUGCGUAGCCGACGUGAGAGGGUGAUCGGCCACACUGGGACUGAGACACGGCCCAGACUCCUACGGGAGGCAGCAGUAGGGAAUCUUCCGCAAUGGACGAAAGUCUGACGGAGCAACGCCGCGUGAGUGAUGAAGGCUUUCGGGUCGUAAAACUCUGUUGUUAGGGAAGAACAAGUGCUAGUUGAAUAAGCUGGCACCUUGACGGUACCUAACCAGAAAGCCACGGCUAACUACGUGCCAGCCGCCGCGGUAA
rnacentral:rRNA from 1 species